GGCUGUGACGCUUACAGUGACUGUUUGCUCACGGCAUUUUGCACGGGAUAAUUUCUCCUUACCAGAUGUAGCAUGUCAAAGACAGCGGCUGAAAAAAAUGCAGUACUAACUGAAAACCUGCCAAGGACGUCAUGUUAUGAUGAGAACAAGGAUGCUCAUAUGAAAGAGCUUUCACUGGCAAGACUUCGCCGACGUGUGUAUCGGUCAGCCAGAAAUGAAUCAAGCAAAGAAACUGUUGCCUCCCCAUUAGAAGCAAAGGUGUUGCCCCAUGCACCUGUCAGCACGACCACCAUGGACGAUCUCCCAUCCCCUGACCGCAACAGC